rnacentral:tRNA from 1 species
GCGGAAGUGGUGAAAUUGGCAGACACACCAUCUUGAGGGGGUGGCGCUCGAAAGAGCAUGCGGGUUCAAGUCCCGCCUUCCGCA